UACGUAGGGUGCGAGCGUUGUCCGGAAUUAUUGGGCGUAAAGAGCGUGUAGGCGGCUGGAUAGGUCCGUUGUGAAAACUCGAGGCUCAACCUCGAGACGCCGAUGGAAACCAUCCAGCUAGAGUCCGGAAGAGGAGAGUGGAAUUCCCGGUGUAGCGGUGAAAUGCGCAGAUAUCGGGAAGAACACCCGUGGCUAAGGCGGCUCUCUAGUACGGUACUGACGCUGAGACGCGAAAGCGUGGGGAGCGAACAGG
rnacentral:rRNA from 1 species